rnacentral:misc_RNA from 1 species
GUUGCGUUAGGUAGUAUCAGAGCAAGGAUUUCACCCUUAUUACGAUGGCCAAAUACUGGUGGUAUAAUGGCAAUCAACCUCAUGACGAUGAUCAAGGAUUACACGCUAUUUGUUGAGCAAUCAAAGAGCAGAUGAAUACAAUAAAACAAUUAAGAAUGGAUAUAGACUAUCAAUUUCAAAAGAUUCACCAUUUAUUGAGAGUUCGUGGUGU